rnacentral:rRNA from 1 species
CCUACGGGAGGCAGCAGUGGGGAAUAUUGCACAAUGGGCGAAAGCCUGAUGCAGCAACGCCGCGUGAGGGAUGACGGCCUUCGGGUUGAAACCUCUUUUAGUAGGGAAGCGGUACCUGCAGAAAAAGCACCGGCUAACUACGUGCCAGCAGCCGCGGUAAUACGUAGGGUGCAAGCGUUGUCCGGAAUUAUUGGGCGUAAAGAGCUCGUAGGCGGUUUGUCGCGUCUGCUGUGAAAUCUGGGGGCUCAACCCCCAGCCUGCAGUGGGUACGGGCAGACUAGAGUGCGGUAGGGGAGAUUGGAAUUCCUGGUGUAGCGGUGGAAUGCGCAGAUAUCAGGAGGAACACCGAUGGCGAAGGCAGAUCUCUGGGCCGUACUGACGCUGAGGAGCGAAAGCAUGGGGAGCGAACAGGAUUAGAUACCCUUGUAGUC